GUACACUCCUGCGGGAGGCAGCAGUGGGGAAUUUUGGACAAUGGGCGAAAGCCUGAUCCAGCAAUGCCGCGUGAGUGAAGAAGGCCUUCGGGUUGUAAAGCUCUUUUGUCAGGGAAGAAACGGUGAGAGCUAAUAUCUUUUGCUAAUGACGGUACCUGAAGAAUAAGCACCGGCUAACUACGUGCCAGCAGCCGCGGUAAUACGUAGGGUGCAAGCGUUAAUCGGAAUUACUGGGCGUAAAGCGUGCGCAGGCGGUUUUGUAAGUCUGAUGUGAAAUCCCCGGGCUCAACCUGGGAAUUGCAUUGGAGACUGCAAGGCUAGAAUCUGGCAGAGGGGGGUAGAAUUCCACGUGUAGCAGUGAAAUGCGUAGAUAUGUGGAGGAACACCGAUGGCGAAGGCAGCCCCCUGGGUCAAGAUUGACGCUCAUGCACGAAAGCGUGGGGAGCAAACAGGAUUAGAAACCCCAGUAGUCC
rnacentral:rRNA from 1 species